rnacentral:rRNA from 1 species
AGUGAACGCUGGCGGUAGGCCUAACACAUGCAAGUCGAACGGCAGCACAGUAAGAGCUUGCUCUUACGGGUGGCGAGUGGCGGACGGGUGAGGAAUACAUCGGAAUCUACUUUUUCGUGGGGGAUAACGUAGGGAAACUUACGCUAAUACCGCAUACGACCUACGGGUGAAAGCAGGGGAUCUUCGGACCUUGCGCGAUUGAAUGAGCCGAUGUCGGAUCAGCUAGUUGGCGGGGUAAAGGCCCACCAAGGCGACGAUCCGUAGCUGGUCUGAGAGGAUGAUCAGCCACACUGGAACUGAGACACGGUCCAGACUCCUACGGGAGGCAGCAGUGGGGAAUAUUGGACAAAGGGCGCAAGCCUGAUCCAGCCAUACCGCGUGGGUGAAGAAGGCCUUCGGGUUGUAAAGCCCUUUUGUUGGGAAAGAAAAGCAGCAGGUUAAUACCCCGCUGUUCUGACGGUACCCAAAGAAUAAGCACCGGCUAACUUCGUA